UUUAAUUCGAAGCAACGCGCAGAACCUUACCAGGCCUUGACAUGGGCAGGCCGCGGCGAGAGAUCGCCGUUUCCCGCGAGGGACCUGCCGCACAGGUGCUGCAUGGCUGUCGUCAGCUCGUGUCGUGAGAUGUUGGGUUAAGUCCCGCAACGAGCGCAACCCUCGCCCCCAGUUGCCAUCACGAUCGGGUGGGCACUCCGGGGGAACCGCCGGUGACAAGCCGGAGGAAGGUGGGGAUGACGUCAAGUCCUCAUGGCCCUCAUGGCCUGGGCCACACACGUGCUACAAUGGCGGUGACAGCGGGGCGCCACGCAGCGAUGCGGAGCCGAUCCCGAAAAGCCGUCUCAGUUCGGAUCGCGGCCUGCAACCCGGCCGCGUGAAGGUGGAAUCGCUAGUAAUCGCGGAUCAGCACGCCG
rnacentral:rRNA from 1 species